rnacentral:rRNA from 1 species
UCAGACGAUGCGUCAUGCAUAUCAAUAAGCGGAGGAAAAGAAACUAACAAGGAUUCCCUUAGUAACGGCGAGUGAAGCGGGAAGAGCUCAAAUUUGAAAUCUUCAAGGUUUUACCUUGACGAAUUGUAGUUUAAAGAAGUGUUUUCUGCUGAAGCUUUGGUAAAAGUUCUUUGGAAUAGGACAUCAUAGAGGGUGAGAAUCCCGUAUUUGACCAUUAUUUUCAGCUUUGUGAUGCACUUUCAAAGAGUCGGAUUGUUUGGGAAUGCAGUCCGAAAUGGGUGGUAAAUUUCAUCUAAAGCUAAAUAUUGGCGAGAGACCGAUAGCGAACAAGUACCGUGAGGGAAAGAUGAAAAGAACUUUGAAAAGAGAGUUAAACAGUACGUGAAAUUGUCAAAAGGGAAGCGUUUGACACCAGUGUUGUUUUCUCGAAAAUCAAUUAAAAAUGGCUCGAUUUUGUAUUGCUGAGACCUUAAAAGCUCACUGUACAUUUUUCGUGUCUUUUUUAAUGCACUUUUCGUUUAACAAGUCAACAUCAGUUUCUUUUGUUGUAAAAGGGUCAUUGGAAGGUGGCUUUCCUUUUCGGAGAAAGUGUUUAUAGCCUUUGGCCUCUGCAAUCGAAGAGACUGAGGUCUGCAGCGUAGACUCUUCGGGGUUAGAUACAUUUGUGCUAAGUUAUAGCUUUUUAUAGACAACUUGUUGACUAUAAUUAGUCUUGUAGCUUACUCGCUUAUGCUAUUUUACCUACGCUUAGGAUGUUGAACUACUGAGACAUAG